rnacentral:lncRNA from 1 species
UAUGCGUUUUUGGGUCGAUAGCCGAGGUGGUACUAUGUUUUUCUUGAUCCAAUAGGUCGGUGGAAUAUCUCGAACGAAAGAGUCCUUAUUUGGCUCCAGCAGGGGGGCGGGCGCCUAGGCUACCAGGGCGGGCGCCCUGGGCCUGGCCCAGUUUCGCCUCCGCUUCGGUCUCGUGGCUUCUGGAGUCUUCUAGAUGAUGUAAAAUUACGCGGUGCGUUGAUAUCUCCAUGUAAUCCUGACAUGUGGGCCUUUCUUCCUUAUUUCCUGAUAACCCCCUGCAGAAAUAGAUAAACAACAAAACUCAUGGAAUUCUGUCAGAUCAAACCCUAAUUCUAGGUGUUGUUUGCAUAUUGGUCCUUUCUCAUGUUUAUUUGAUAAUUAAAAUUGAUACUUAAGAACCGUCAACACUAGACUUUGAGCCACACAUUUACUUUUUACUGCUUAUGAGCAUUGAGUGUGGUCAAGCUGUGUAGACCCUUAGGAGCUUGUCAUGUGGUUAAAAUCAAGAUUCACUUGCACGUUCACUCACACAUGCUACUUCUACUCCGGAAGUACGCAUCCACAUACAUCCACUCACUUCCAUCUCCAGAGCCAUCCAAAAGUAUUCUACUCCUAAUCUGGGAGAGAGUAGCCAAAAACAUUUCUAUUUUUCCCUGUGAAAUAACUGCUUGAGUUAUCUUGGUUACUACCACUUGCUAUAUUAUUUCAGGAGAUGAGUGCUUUAAAAAAAGAAGAAAAAAAAGAGAGAAAGAAUACGAGGAAAUAAAAAGGGGCAAGUGCCCGGAACCUCGAAAAAAAGAAAAAGUGAGACGAGAGGUAAAAAUUGUCUGACAGUAAAAUUAGGGGUACAAGAUACCACCUAAGGAAAGAAAAAGAAAAUAUAGAGAAUCUCAUUCUCCUCAAAAAGCUUCAAAGUGCAAGAAAGGUAUGUAUCCCCUUAAAAGAGCAAAAGUAUAAUUAGAUUUUCACCAUUGUUAUCACCAUACACCAUUCACUCGCCACACAUGCACAUCUUGAUUUGACUUAUUGACUUGUUCUUCUGGAUCCAUGGUUUGACUAUGCAAUAAAUGUCUUAUAAGUAUGUAUUAUCUGUCUCCCACCUAUGAGCUCCAGAUAUCAAAACCUUAUUAGAGUAGGGUGAGAGAGAAGGCAAUAUCACUAUGCCUCAUACCAAAAACAUCACUUACUUUGAGAGAAGGCAUAUACCAUUACUGCCAUGGAAAGGAUCUAGAAAUACCACAAAAGAGAGAUUUGAGAGAAUCAGAUAAGGAAUCUCUGAGUUUUAUUUGAAAAUCUGCAAAAACUCUAGAGCUAUAGCUGAUCAAGAACAAGAGACAUGGCGCUUGACUAGACUGUUCUAUCUUUUAACUGCUCAAGACACAAGUGACGAUUGCAAGCCCCAUGGUGAAAGGUAAAACAAGUAAGUUUUAAGUCUUAACAGUUUACUCUAACUGAGAGAUGAGAUCUUGCUUGAAGGCAUGUGUACUUUUAAGGCAUGAAACCACUGCAGGAACUUUUGAGUCUAUCCUUGCUCAGGGACGAGCAAGAGGUAAGCUUGGGGGAGUUUGUUGACAGUCCUUAAGUACCAAAUAUAAUCAUCAAAUAAAUAAAGAAAAGGAUCCAAAUGCAACCAACACCCAGGCUUAGGGUUAUAUCUGACAGAAUUCCACGAGUUUUAUUGUUUGUCUAUUUCUGUAGGGGGUUAUCAGGAAAUAUGGAGGAAAGGCCCACACGUCGGGUUUACGUAAAGAUAUUAACGUGCCGCGUAAUUUUCUAUCAUCUAGAAGAGUCUAGAAGCCACGGGAAGGAACGGGAGGCCGAACGGGCCCAGGGGCUUGGCGCUCGCCGUCCCCCCUUGGGCGCCCGCCCUGGUACAAGCACCAAUCACAGAAUGGAUUACACCAUUACAAAGAUCUCGUCGAGCUGAUCGAAAUGCAUAUAUUAUUUGCUAUAUUUGGAGUUCGGAAUCAAGAGAUAUUAAUAAAAGAAGGACUCUACAUAAAAGAGCUGCGGGAUUAAUUGGGCUCAAAUCAGAUUUUGGUCCAUUAAGGCCUAUGUGCAUUUUAAUGAGAUAUGGUGGAAAGUUUAGUACCACAUCGCCCGCUGAACCAAAAAGGCACAAAAGGAGGAGGCUAUAUAAGCAAGGCCCCUGGCCCCUGGAGAACACAUCAUUAUAGAGUUGAGAGGUGCCCUCGAAGGAUAACCUUUCCUCUAUAUAGAAUUAGGGCUUAGCAUCCAAUGUGAGAUUAGAAUUAGUUCUUCUAAGCUCUUCUAGAUUGAGAGAGAUAGAGUGGAGGUGUAGAUCGGAGGAACCCUGGCCUGUCGGUGUCUACUCCGAGGUUGUACCUACGGGAUCAGGUCUCCUAACCCGAGGCUUGCUCCUAGGAUUCUUCAGUAUUUCGACUUCUAAAUUCUACUAAGUUCUUUGUUUUAUUGUUCUUUGGUUUAUGAGUUUACUUUAAUCUCUUCCAGUUGAGUUUAGAGUAAUCAUUGCUAGCGUAAACGUGGUGUUUGGGCUAGGGUACUCAUAGAUAUCCCCUGUCUAGCCGGACCGUGGUAGUAGCGAGGAACGUGACAUUUUCGAGUUACCUUUGUAGCCCACAUCCCGUUAGAAGGAUCGAUAGGGUUUAUAGGUGCGGGUCGAACAUCCUUUGUGGUGUCUAGAUUCCGUGAGCCUCCCCAAUAGAAGAGUAGAUCAUCCUUACCAAGGUUAGAACGAGAGUGCGGUUGUAGUCUUCUCUAUACAUCGCUCACAUCGAAUCACAUUGUUUGUAGCCUAAAGGGUAGUAGCAAUAGAUUUGGUUAGUCGGAUGCACGCUUUCUCCCAGUGGUAAAAAUAUAAAUACGAUACUCUGGAUAACCUCCCGGGUGAAAUGCUCACCGAUAUCCAUGCGCUUGCGGAUCAUUUCCUGAUGGCGUUACCUAAUAUCAACACUCCCCGCCAAAGAAAUCUAUGACUGGGCCGACCUGGUCAGGGUAUUCAAGGGAAAUUUCAAAGGAACCUACGUCCGCUCCGGCAACUUGUGGGAUCUCAGCGAAUGCAAGCAGAAAGCCAGAGAAUCUCUCCGAGAGUAUGCUCGACGCUUCUCCAAGCAAUGCACGGAGCUCCCGCACAUCCCCGACCAUGAUGUCAUCCUAGCAUUUGUGUCAGGCACCACCUGCAAAGGAUUUGGUAUAGGAGUUAGGACGCAAUCGCUCGCAGACCGUUGACGAGCUGAUGGAUGUAGUUUCCAAUUAUGCGGAAUUUAUGAUCCUACCAAGUAAUAUUUAUUAGGAGGAAUCUCAAUAUGAUAAAGGCUAAGAGAUUUUAUGCUAACACUUAACCAGUUUUACAAAGCUUUGUUGUCUAUUUGAGCUCCACAAAAUUCAAGGAUCUAAGAAGACUAGCCGGCGGAGGACAUAGUAUUCGCUGUCAGGGUGCUGCCGACAUUCAAAUACACCUCCGCCACCUGCUAGCUACAUCAGAAGAAAUUACGUCAAAAUCCAGCUUGGGGAAGAGCACCCCCAUUUAUCAAGCUAAGUGUUUCUACUCGCGUUUAUACUUUGCUCAAAUAAUAAAAAGAUGCAUAAUCAUAAAAACCCAAAUAAAAAUUUUGUGCUUAUAUAUAUCUUUGCUUGCUAAAUAAAUAAAUAAAUAAAGUGUCUAGUCCAAACUAAACUUAAAUGAUAAAAUCUUACAUGGAUAUGAUAAAUAGUUGCUCUGCCAUAUACCUAGUUUUUAAGUUUGAGCUCUCUCUCAAGUUUAGGCAUAACUGUUAUAAUUUAAACCUGCUCUAAACCUGAACUUGUGGGAAGAGUACUUGAUCUGAAGUCUAAGUUGUUAACGGAUAUGAUAUGGGAAGGUUGAGCUGCUGUUUAUCUAUUCCUAGAGAUGCUAGAAUUCCGGAGAAUUUUAUCUUUGAAAAUCUUUAAAAAUAACACAUGAUGAGUUCCUGUAUGAUGAGAGUUUAAAUUUCUACCACAGCCAUAUAUACAUGCUUGCUAGACUUUGAGCCACACAUUUACUUUUUACUGCUUAUGAGCAUUGAGUGUGGUCAAGCUGUGUAGACCCUUAGGAGCUUGUCAUGUGGUUAAAAUCAAGAUUCACUUGGACGUUCACUCACACAUGCUACUUCUACUCCGGAAGUAUGCAUCCACAUACAUCCACUCACUUCCAUAUCCAGAGCCACCCAAAAGUAUUCUACUCCUAAUCCGAGAGAGAAUAGCCAAAAACAUUUCUAUUUUUCCCUAUGAAAUAAAUGCUCGAGUUAUCUUGGUUACUACCACUUGCUAUAUUAUUUCAGGAGAUUAGUGCUUUAAAAAAAGAAGAAGAAAAAAAAGAGAGAAAGAAUACGAGGAAAUAAAAAGGGGCAAGUGCCCGGAACCUCGAAGAAAAGAAAAAGUGAGACGAGAGGUAAAAAUGGACAAGUGUCCGACAGUAGAAUUAGGGGUACAAGAUACCACCUGAGGAAAGAAAAAGAAAAUAUAGAGCAUCUCAUUCUCCUCAAAAAGCUUCAAAGUGCAAGAAAGGUAUGUAUCCCCUUAAAAGAGCAAAAGUAGAAUUAGAUUUUCACCAUUGUUAUCACCAUACACCAUUCACUCGCCACACAUGCACAUCUUGAUUUGACUUAUUGACUUGUUCUUCUGGAUCCAUGGUUUGACUAUGCAAUAAAUGUCUUAUAAGUAUGUAUUAUCUGUCUCCCACCUAUGAGCUCCAGAUAUCAAAACCUUAUUAGAGUAGGGUGAGAGAGAAGGCAAUAUCACUAUGCCUCAUACCAAAAACAUCACAUACUUUGAGAGAAGGCAUAUACCAUUACUGCCUUGGAAAGGAUCUAGAAAUACCACAAAAGAGAGAUUUGAGAGAAUCAUAUAAGGAAUAUCUGAGUUUUAUUUGAAAAUCUGCAAAAACUCUAGAGCUAUAGCUGAUCAAGAACAAGAGACAUGGCACUUGACUAGAUUGUUCCAUCUUUUAACUGCUCAAGACACAAGUGACGGUUGCAAGCCCCAUGGUGAAAGGUAAAAUGAGUAAGUUUUAAGUCUUAACAGUUUACUCUAACUCAGAGAUGAGAUCUUGCUUGAACGCAUGCGUACUUUUAAGGCAUGAAACCACUACAGAAACUUUUGAGUCUAUCCUUGCUCAGGGACGAGCAAGAGGUAAGCUUGGAGGAGUUUGUUGACGGUCCUUAAGUACCAAAUAUAAUCGUCAAAUAAAUAAAGAAAAGGAUCCAAAUGCAACCAACGCCCAGACUUAGGGUUUUAUCUGAAAGAAUUCCACGAGUUUUGGUGUUUGUCUAUUUCUGUAGGGGGUUAUCAGGAAAUAUGGAGGAAAGGCCCACACGUAGGGUUUACGUAGAGAUAUUAACGUGCUGUGCAAUUUUCUAUCGUCUAGAAGAGUCCAGAAGCCACGGGAACGAACGGGAGGCCGAAUGGGCCAAGGGGCAGGGCGCCCGCCCUCCCCCCUUGGGCGCCCGCCCUGGUACAAGAACCAAUCACAGAAUGGAUAUCACCAUUACAAAGAUCUCGUCGAGCUGAUCGAAAUGCAUAUAUUAUUUGCUAUAUUUGGAGUACGGAAUCAAGAGAUAUUAAUAAAAGAAAGAACUCUACAUAAAGGAGCUGCGGGAUUAAUUGGGCUCAAAUCAGAUUUUGGUCCAUUAAGGCCUAUGUGCAUUUUAAUGAUAUAUGGUGGAAAGUUUAGUACCACAUCGCCCGCUGAACCAAAAAGGCACAAAAAGAGGAGGCUAUAUAAGCAAGGCCUCUGGCCCUUGGGGGAGAACACAUCAUUAUAGAGUUGAGAGGUGCCAUUGAAGGAUAACCUUUCCUCUAUAUAGAAUUAGGGCUUAGCAUCCAAUGUGAGAUUAGAAUUAGUUCUUCUAAGUACUUCUAGAUUGAGAGAGAUAGAGUGGAGGUGUAGAUCGGAGGAAGCCCGGCCUGUCGGUGUCUACUCCGAGGUUGUACCUACGGGAUCAAGUCUCCUAACCUGAGGCUUUCUCCUAGGAUUCUUCAGUAUUUCGACUUCUAAAUUCUAGUAAGUUUUCUUUGUUUUAUUGUUCUUUGGUUUAUGAGUUUACUUUAAUCUCUUCCAAUUGAGUUUAGAGUAAUCAUUGCUAGCUUAAACGUUGUGUUUGGACUAGGGUACUCAUAGAUAUCCCCUGUCUAGCCGGACCGUGGUAGUAGCAAGGAACGUGACAUUUCCGAGUUACCUUUGUAGCCCACAUCCCGUUAGAAGGAUCGAUAGGGUUUAUAGGUGCGGGUCAAAAAUCCUUUGUGGUGUCUAGAUUCCGUGAGCCUCCCCAAUAGAAGAGUAGAUCAUCCUUACCAAGGUUAGAACGAGAGUGCGGUUGUAGUCUUCUCUAUACAUCGCUCACAUCGAAUCACAUUGUUUGUAGCCUAAAGGGUAGUAGCAAUAAAUUUGGUUAGUCAGAUGCACGCUUUCUCCCAGUGGUAAAAAUAUAAAUACGAUACUCUGGAUAACCUCCCGGGUGAAAUGCUCACCGAUAUCUGUGCGCUUGCGGAUCAUUUCCUGAUGGCGUUACCUAAUAUCAACACUCCACGCCAAACAAAUCUAUGACUGGGCCGACCUGGUCAGGGUAUUCAAGGGAAAUUUCAAAGGAACCUACGUCCGCCCUGGCAACUUGUGGGAUCUCAGCGAAUGCAAGCAGAAAGCCAGAGAAUCUCUCCGAGAGUAUGCUCGACGCUUCUCCAAGCAAUGCACGGAGCUCCCGCACAUCCCCGACCAUGAUGUCAUCCUAGCAUUUGUGUCAGGCACCACCUGCAAAGGAUUUGGUAUAGGAGUUAGGACGCAAUCGCUCGCAGACCGUUGACGAGCUGAUGGAUGUAGUUUCCAAGUAUGCGGAAUUUCUGAUCCUACCAAGUAAUAUUUAUUAGGAGGAAUCUCAAUAUGAUAAAGGCUAAGAGAUUUUAUGCUAACACUUAACCAGUUUUACAAAGCUUUGUUGUCUAUUUAAGCUCCACAGAAUUCAAGGAUCAAAGAAGACUAGCCGGCGGAGGACAUAGUAAUCGCUGUCAGGGUGCUGCCGACAUUCAAAUACACCUCCGCCACCUGCUAGCUACAUCAGAAGAAAUUACGUCAAAAUCCAGCUUGGGGAAGAGCACCCCCAUUUAUCAAGCUAAGUGUUUCUACUCGCGUUUAUACUUUACUCAAAUAAUAAAAAGAUGCAUAAUCAUAAAAACCCAAAUAAAAAUUUUGUGCUUAUAUAUAUCUUUGCUUGCUAAAUAAAUAAAUAAAUAAAGUGUCUAGUCCAAAGUGAACUUAAAUGAUAAACUCUUACAUGGAUAUGAUAAAUAGUUGCUCUGCCAUAUACCUAGUUUUCAAGUUUGAGCUCUCUCUCAAGUUUAGGCAUAACUGUUAUAAUUUAAACCUGCUCUAAACCUGAACUUGUGGGAGGAGUACUUGAUCUGAAGUCUAAGUUGUUAACGGAUAUGAUAUGGGAAGGUUGAGCUGCUGUUUAUCUGUUCCUAGAGAUGCUAGAAUUCUGGAGAAUUUUAUCUUUGAAAAUCUUUAAAAAUAACACAUGAUGAGUUCCUGUAUGAUGAGAGUUUAAAUUCCUACCACAGCCAUAUAUACAUUCUUGCUAGACUUUGAGCCACACAUUUACUUUUUACUGCUUAUGAGCAUUGAGUGUGGUCAAGCUGUGUAGACCCUUAGGAGCUUGUCAUGUGGUUAAAAUCAAGAUUCACUUGCACGUUCACUCACACAUGCUACUUCUACUCCGGAAGUACGCAUCCACAUACAUCCACUCACUUCCAUCUCCAGAGCCACCCAAAAGUAUUCUACUCCUAAUCCGGGAGAGAAUAGCCAAAAACAUUUCUAAUUUUCUCUGUGAAAUAAAUGCUCAAGUUAUCUUGGUAACUACCACUUGCUAUAUUAUUUUAGGAGAUGAGUGCUUUAAAAAAAGAAGAAGAAAAAAAUAGAGAAAGAAUACGAGGAAAUAAAAAGGGGCAAGUGCCCAAAACCUCGAAGAAAAGAAAAAGUGAGACGAGAGGUAAAAAUGGACAAGUGUCCGACAGUAGAAUUAGGGGUACAAGAUACCAUCUGAGGAAAGAAAAAGAAAAAAUAGAGCAUCUCAUUCUCCUCAAAAAGCUUUAAAGUGCAAAAAAGGUAUGUAUCCCCUUAAAAGAGCAAAAGUAGAAUUAGAUUUUCACCAUUGUUAUCACCAUACACCAUUCACUCGCCACACAUGCACAUCUUGAUUUGACUUAUUGACUUGUUCUUAUGGAUCCAUGGUUUGACUAUGCAAUAAAUGUCUUAUAAGUAUGUAUUAUCUGUCUCCCACCUAUGAGCUCCAGAUAUCAAAACCUUAUUAGAGUAGGGUGAGAAGAGAAGGCAAUAUCACUAUGCCUCAUACCAAAAACAUCACAUACUUUGAGAGAAGGCAUAUACCAUUACUGCCUUGGAAAGGAUCCAGAAAUACCACAAAAGAGAGAUUUGAGAGAAUCAUAUAAGGAAUCUCUGAGUUUUAUUUGAAAAUCUGCAAAAACCCUAGAGCUAUAGCUGAUCAAGAACACGAGACAUGGUGCUUAACUAGACUGUUCUAUCUUUUAACUGCUCAAGACACAAGUGACGGUUGCAAGCCCCAUGGUGAAAGGUAAAAUGAGUAAGUUUUAAGUCUUAACAGUUUACUCUAACUCAGAGAUGAGAUCUUGCUUGAACGCAUGCGUACUUUUAAGGCAUGAAACCACUACAGAAACUUUUGAGUCUAUCCUUGCUCAGGGACGAGCAAGAGGUAAGCUUGGGGGAGUUUGUUGACGGUCCUUAAGUACCAAAUAUAAUCAUCAAAUAAAUAAAGAAAAGGAUCCAAAUGCUACCAACACCCAGACUUAGGGUUUUAUCUGAAAGAAUUCCACGAGUUUUGAUGUUUGUCUAUUUCUGUAGGGGGUUAUCAGGAAAUGUGGAGGAAAGGCCCACACAUCGGGUUUACGUAGAGAUAUUAACGUGCCGCGCAAUUUUCUAUCAUCUAGAAGAGUCCAGAAGCCACGGGAACAAACGGGAGGCCGAACGGGCCCAGGUGCAGGGUGCCCGCCCUCCCCCCUUGGGCGCCCGCCCUGGUACAAGCACCAAUCACAGAAUGGAUUGCACCAUUACAAAGAUCUCGUUGAGCUGAUCGAAAUGCAUAUAUUAUUUGCUAUAUUUGGAGUUCGGAAUCAAUAGAUAUUAAUAAAAGAAGGACUCUACAUAAAAGAGUUGCGGGAUUAAUUGGGCUCAAAUCAGAUUUUGGUCCAUUAAGGCCUAUGUCAAUUUUAAUGAGAUAUGGUGGAAAGUUUAGUACCACAUCGCCCGCUGAACCAAAAAGGCACAAAAGGAGGAGGCUAUAUAAGCAAGGCCCCUGGCCCCUGGAGGAGAACACAUCAUUAUAGAGUUGAGAGGUGCCCUCGAAGGAUAACCUUUCCUCUAUAUAGAAUUAGGGCUUAGCAUCCAAUGUGAGAUUAGAAUUAGUUCUUCUAAGUUCUUCUAGAUUGAGAGAGAUAGAGUGGAGGUGUAGAUCGGAGGAAGCCCGGCCUGUCGGUGUCUACUCUGAGGUUGUACCUACGGGAUCAAGUCUCCUAACCCGAGGCUUGCUCCUAGGAUUCUUCAGUAUUUCGACUUCUAAAUUCUAGUAAGUUUUCUUUGUUUUAUUGUUCUUUGGUUUAUGAGUUUACUUUAAUCUCUUCCGGUUGAGUUUAGAGUAAUCAUUGCUAGUGCAAACGUGGUGUUUGGGCUAGGGUACUCAUAGAUAUCCCCUGUCUAGCCGGACCGUGGUAGUAUCGAGGAACGUGACAUUUCCGAGUUACCUUUGUAGCCCACAUCCCGUUAGAAGGAUCGAUAGGGUUUAUAGGUGCGGGUCGAACAUCCUUUGUGGUGUCUAGAUUCCGUGAGCCUCCCCAAUAGAAGAGUAGAUCAUCCUUACCAAGGUUAGAAUGAGAGUGCGGUUGUAGUCUUCUCUAUACAUCGCUCACAUCGAAUCACAUUGUUUGUAGCCUAAAGGGUAGUAGCAAGAGAUUUGGUUAGUCAGAUGCAUGCUUUCUCCCAGUGGUAUAUAUAAAUACGAUACUCUGGAUAAUCUCCCGGUGAAAUGUGUUGGGUAUUCUUAACAUCAUUACUAAAAGUAGACUAAGUUCUCUAAAUCUAGUAACGGUGCCAAAAAUGCCAAACCUAUCCCUCACACCACUUAAGCCAAGUUGUCAUCCCCAGCAUGACAUGAGAGACGCGUUAUUGAAAUAUGCAAUUGCUCUUCUAAAUAAAUAAUGAAUGGGAUCUGCAAGCGCAC